CCCCAUACUCCUCCGCCACCAACGAAGUGCACUUUAUCGAGUUCUUUGCACUGAAAGCAUCGCACGACUCCACGCCUCCACUCUCUCCCUUUCCCCCAAGCACUCCAGUCCUCCCGCAUUCCGAAUGUUCCGCCGCGUCUCGAUGAAAGCCGCCACGGCCACCGCUCCCGUCGGGUUUUCGUUCCUGUGCUACCAUACCCUUCCUCAUCUUCGGUACCCGGCCGAGCUGCCGACGCUCGGCUUCAACUACAAGGACGGCAUCCAGCCCGUCAUGAGCUCCCGUCAGUUGGAGCUGCACUACAAGAAGCACCACAGCGCGUACGUGGACAAGUUGAACACGCUCGGCAAGGGCUGCGAGGGGAAGACGAUUGAGGAGAUCAUCUUGGCGACCAGCGGCAGCACUGAGAGCAAGGUCAUGUUCAACCAGGCCGCUCAGCACUUCAACCAUUCCUUCUUCUGGAAGUGCCUGUCGCCUGGUGGCAAGCCGAUGCCGAAGACGCUCGAGAAUGCCAUCGCGAAGCAGUUCGGAAGCGUCGACGACUUCACGGUUUCCUUCCAGCAGGCCGGCGUGAACAACUUUGGCUCUGGCUGGACGUGGCUCUGCGUCGAUCCCCGGACGAAGGAGCUUCGCAUCGACAACACGAGCAACGCGGGCUGCCCGCUGACCUCUGGCUUGCGCCCCAUCUUCACCGCUGAUGUGUGGGAGCACGCCUACUACAAAGACUUUGAGAACCGCCGCGCGGACUACCUGAAAGAGCUCUGGCAGAUCGUCGACUGGGAGUUUGUCUGCCAGAUGUAUGAGAAGGCCACGAAGUAAGAGAGUCGUACAUGCAUCUGUACCCAAUAUGCUGAGGUGAGGAAGGGAGGGACCGAGCGAUGCACGCGCGUCCGAUAUCCACGUAGACGAGGGGCUCGCGCGGAACGAUGAAUGACGGAGGCCGUGGCAGAUGGCACACACGCGCACGCAAUGAGAAGGAGUGUUGGACGUGCUGGUGGUGGUGACAGUGGCAGGCAUGCGGCGAGCGCUCAUCUAAUGGCCGCCCGCCGCCAUCACGACUACCACAGCCUCGUGAGUGUCAGUCGGUUGGGGCCAGCGCGCCCCCCCCCCCCGGCUCACUCGCUUCCACUUUCUUCCGUCUCUCAUGCUGCGCGCAUGUGCGCAGAAGCAGCGGUAGCUCAUCCCUUGCUUGCCUCCGGCCUCCUUCACACACACACACACGCCAACGCUGCCCCUCUAGGUUCCUCGUCUCCGCCCGGUGCCGUCACCCAAUCCCUGUCGCCUUCUAGCCGUCUGGUUCUUUGCCGUUCGCCCUCCCCCCCACCCCUUCCUGAGCAAGUCAGCGGUGAGAGUGUGAUGCGCACGUGGAGGAGCAGCCUCGCCGCCCUUCUCUCUGUCUCCCUGUGCGCGCAGGUCGGGCGGGUGAGUGGGCGGCUGGCGUGCGCGUGGAAGGUGUGUAGGCCGGUUGGAAGGAGUCACGACUUGCAUCCAUGUUGCCCUAUUCUGUAGACACACAGACACGACGUAAUGGGCGCGCGCGCACUCGUCACUUGAGGAUCUUGCUGCUGAUCACCAUCACAUACAUAGAGAGAGAGUUUGCGCAUCCUUCUCUCCUACGUUGACGACCGCCCGCGCCGUACCUUAUACAUCCUACCACUUCCCAGCACAACAUUUGCUCGUUGUCGCGUUGAUUCUUCGAUUGUUUUUUAAAGCUCUUUCCUUCCUUCCUCCCCCAACCCACCCGACUCCGCCCCCGGCACUCCGCCUCUCCCCCGCUCCCUCCUUUCCGCCUUCG
rnacentral:misc_RNA from 1 species